rnacentral:lncRNA from 1 species
ACUUUUUAAAUUUCCCAUUGUUUAUUUUACAUAUUGUAAAUUGAUUCGAUAAAUGUGUUUUUGUAGUACAGAGUGUAAUAUUACCUUGAGCAUAUAACAUAAACAUUUAAAAUACUUGAGAUGUCUAUUUAAUUCCCUAAUCGUAGGAAAUCUAAUGGUGUGUUCUGCUCGUUGGUGAGGUUGUUUUCUCUUUGACACAUUCCCCAUUUCCACCUAAUUUUAAGGUUUUUAAGACAUUUACCCAUAUCAUCAGAAAUCCAAUGGACAAGGUAUACUUUUAAGUAAUGUUAAUACAUACAUAGGCAGAUAUACUUGGGCAAUGCUAGGUAGUGAUCCCAUGGAAUUUUUAAAAAAAAUGUGUCGAGCUGGAAUUUGGGAGAAACUAAAGUAAAGAAUCAGAUCUACUCCUUUAUACUGAACAUGCUGAAAGCUUAAAUACUUUUCUCCGCAAUAUUUAUAAUCAUAUACAUGCAUGACAUAUGUAUAUGCUAUUUCAGACUUCAAAUUUUUUCACUGAAAUUUUCUUCAUAGAAAUUAUAAGAACUCAUUGGUUAUGCUUAAGACAAAGACAUUUUCAGUUGAAUAUGAGAACCAGUGAGGCACUGUGACAGAUUUUAGGUUACACAUGUUAAAUGCUGGACUGAGGCAGACAGUUGUUUCCUCUCAAUAUUGUAAUCACCCACAACAAGCUAUUUCAUGGAUUCAUAAAAGAAGCAAAGAACAUUUCAAUCCCAAUACCAGGUGUCAGAUAACAUGUUUUUAUUUUACUCAAGGAUGCUGCAUAUUAAAAUUUACCCCCCCCCCCCUCUUUUUUCCCCUAAAAAAUCCAAAAACAUAAUAAACGAGGCAAAACAAAAACAAGUCUGCUUCAUGUACAAAAUAUGCCAAUUCUGCAAAUUGAACUUUCAUCUUUUGAUAAUAUGUAAUGUAACCUGACUACCAGUAGAUACAGGUGUUUUAACAGAAUAAACAUGUUUUUAAUGGUUUGGCUCUCUUAUAGAUGUAAACCCCACAUCCUAUUUUAUUUAUAAUCAUCUUAAGAUCUAAAGUCUUUUUUUCUUUGCAAGAAACUGUACAAAAAUAAAAAGCGUGGAAUUUCAACUCACAGUUUUUAAGCCAUCUACAAAUAAAAUCAAAGAUUAUUUAUUUAUAAUGAAAUAUUGUGUGAUCCUCAACACUUCUACACUGGUUCCUUAAAAAAUGAAAGAGA